CAAGUCCUACGAGGCGCAGCAGUGGGGAAUAUUGGACAAUGGGGGGAACCCUGAUCCAGCGACGCCGCGUGAGUGAAGAAGUAUUUCGGUAUGUAAAGCUCUAUCAGCAGGGAAGAAAGAAAUGACGGUACCUGACUAAGAAGCCCCGGCUAACUACGUGCCAGCAGCCGCGGUAAUACGUAGGGGGCAAGCGUUAUCCGGAUUUACUGGGUGUAAAGGGUGCGCAGGCGGUCCUGC
rnacentral:rRNA from 1 species